GGGAUUUUGGACAAUGGGCGAAAGCCUGAUCCAGCAAUGCCGCGUGCAGGAUGAAGGCCCUCGGGUUGUAAACUGCUUUUGUACGGAACGAAAAGACUCUCUCUAAUAAAGAGGGUCCAUGACGGUACCGUAAGAAUAAGCACCGGCUAACUACGUGCCAGCAGACGCGGUAAUACGUAGGGUGCAAGCGUUAAUCGGAAUUACUGGGCGUAAAGCGUGCGCAGGCGGUUAUGUAAGACAGAGGUGAAAUCCCCGGGCUCAACCUGGGAACGGCCUUUGUGACUGCAUGGCUAGAGUGCGGCAGAGGGGGAUGGAAUUCCGCGUGUAGCAGUGAAAUGCGUAGAUAUGCGGAGGAACACCGAUGGCGAAGGCAAUCCCCUGGGCCUGCACUGACGCUCAUGCACGAAAGCGUGGGGAGCAAAC
rnacentral:rRNA from 1 species